GCGAAAGCUCCGACUCCUUCGGCACAGCUUCUUUCCGACGUCAUUAACAGGACCAAAGCUUCAAUGACCGAAUUGAGCAAGCUUUCAAAAGAUAUUUAACCCCAAACACAGGAGAAAAAGAGACGGAGGAAGAACAACUAGAAGACGCCAAUGCUGAUACUAUACAACAGAGUAAGGAAAAUAGUCAUAAAUGCUAUGUAUGAUAUUCAUGCAAUGAAUAAAAAAGGAGAUUUUCCUGAGUA